rnacentral:rRNA from 1 species
AUGCUAGUAAUCGUGGAUCAGAAUGGCACGGUGAAUACGUUCCCGGGCCUUGUACACACCGCCCGUCACACCAUGGGAGUGGACUGCACCAGAAGUGGUUAGCCUAACUUUGGAGGGCGAUCACCACGGUGUGGUUCAUGACUGGGGUGAAGUCGUAACAAGGUAGCCGUAGGGGAACCUGCGGCUGGAUCACCUCCUU